CACGAGUUUGACUGAUUUCGGAAUCCUUCUGUAGUUCAGUGGAGCUUUUUUUUUCGUCUGUGCAUCAAUUCUUCCCAGUAAUAUUAAUCAUGAAGAUUAAUAAAUCAAAUGACAUUAUGUCGAAUCUAUUGGGGUGUUGAAACAAUACGAGGUAAUAAGUUAAUGCAUUUUUUGAUUUCAUCUUCUCCACUUUUUUUUAGGUGGGCAUUAGGUAAUUUCUAUAAAUUGGGGUGUUUGAACGAUACCAUGGUUUAUGGUAUUUAGUUUCUAUGUAUUUUUUUUUCAAAUGUAAUGUCACUGGUAAUGUACAUUAGGUGUUCGAUUAAAUGCCUUAGUGAAGUCUUGUCUCAAUAUGCAUAAAGACUGAUUCAGUGAUUCUUUUGGUGAAAAAAAUGCAAUUUUGAGUGUUGAUUGAAUUAAAUGACUAUGUUACUACAAAAUUGGAAGGAAAGUACUUUGAUCAGGUUUUCCAUAUAUUAUUUUUAUUUUUACUUUUUUUAUUAUAAUUUUAGUGAGUUAAUUUUUGUUUUGCAGUUGAAUCUGCCAUUGAAGGCUUCUUAUUCUUCAUGUACUUGGCCAACCAUCAUUGCAUUCUCAAAAGAUUCAUCUCUUGAUCAACAAAGUAUGCACGAGAAAUAGAUAAAAUAUUAUUUAGUGAUCAUGUGAGGAAAACCCAUCAAGGUUGAAUUCGAUUUUUUGGGACAGGGGUAAAAUCGUCCAACAAGGAGAAAACCCAUCAAACUUAUGUGUAAAUUAAUCCAACAGUACCCAAAACAUUACAUAUUGCAGUUUAACAUGUUUGGGACAGGGGCAAAAUCGUCCAACAAGGGGCUGGGGGUAAGGAUUGAUAAUAAUUCAGUUGAUUUUGUCAUGGUUUGAACUUUAAAGAUGUGAUUUUUAUUUUUAUAAUUAUAUUUUUUUGGUUUUUUAAUCAUCUCAGUUAAGUGGUGGUGAUGGGUGGGAGGCUGUUGCUACUCUUGUACCAUAAGCUGAAGGUGCAGGUGCAACCGGGUGGGAAUGAGACAAGAUUGUUCUUAUGUGUUGAACUUUUCUUUUUAUCUUGUUUAAAA